rnacentral:rRNA from 1 species
UACGUAGGGUCCGAGCGUUGUCCGGAAUUAUUGGGCGUAAAGGGCUCGUAGGCGGUUUGUCGCGUCGGGAGUGAAAACACCGGGCUUAACUCGGUGCUUGCUUUCGAUACGGGCAGACUGGAGGUAUGCAGGGGAGAACGGAAUUCCUGGUGUAGCGGUGAAAUGCGCAGAUAUCAGGAGGAACACCGGUGGCGAAGGCGGUUCUCUGGGCAUUCCCUGACGCUGAGGAGCGAAAGCGUGGGGAGCGAACAGG